CUCUUAUCCAGAGAGGCUGAGGGACUGGCCCGAUGAAGCCCGGCAACCUUCAAGUCGAUUGUGACUUGAAAGGUGCUAAUUCCUGCAGGAGAAAUCCUGGCAGAUAAGAG
rnacentral:ncRNA from 1 species